GGACUAAAGGUCGGUUGGUUAAGGCGCUCCCCUUCAAACUAAGGGGUGUUCUUUAAAGUGAGAGGUGCGGGUUCAAAUCCUGCUUAGUCCACCA
rnacentral:tRNA from 1 species